GUUCCUACGGACGCAGCAGUCGGGAAUAUUGCGCAAUGGAGGAAACUCUGACGCAGUGACGCCGCGUAUAGGAAGAAGGUUUUCGGAUUGUAAACUAUUGUCGUUAGGGAAGAUAAAAGACAGUACCUAAGAAGGAAGCUCCGGCUAACUACGUGCCAGCAGCCGCGGUAAUACGUAGGGAGCAAGCGUUAUCCGGAUUUACUGGGUGUAAAGGGAGCGUAGGCGGGAAGCCAAGUCAGCUGUGAAAACUACGGGCUUAACCUGUAGACUGCAGUUGAAACUGGCUUUCUUGAGUGAAGUAGAGG
rnacentral:rRNA from 1 species